CUCUUAGGGCUGAAAAUAAUUUUUCUUAGAUUUAAUCUUUGAGCUUGCAAAAUUUUUAUGAUUUUCUACUUCAAGAGAGUAUUUAUAGUUACCAUUUACCCUUGAGAAUGUCUUCGAGUUGGUUUAGAGCUGUUGGAGUAUAUUUAAUCCAUAUUAAAUGCAUCAAAAACAGACUGAAAACUAGCCGUUAUGCGAGUUCGCAGAAAUGGGGCAUCCCAAAUGGCCAGACAGAAGGUCCUGCUU
rnacentral:lncRNA from 1 species